GACGAACGCUGGCGGCGUGCUUAACACAUGCAAGUCGAACGCUGAAGCUCAGCUUUUGUUGGGUGGAUGAGUGGCGAACGGGUGAGUAACACGUGAGUAACCUGCCCUCUUCUUUGGGAUAACGCCCGGAAACGGGUGCUAAUACUGGAUAUUCACUUGCCUUCGCAUGGGGGUUGGUGGAAAGGUUUGUUCUGGUGGGGGAUGGGCUCGCGGCCUAUCAGCUUGUUGGUGGGGUGAUGGCCUACCAAGGCUUUGACGGGUAGCCGGCCUGAGAGGGUGACCGGUCACAUUGGGACUGAGAUACGGCCCAGACUCCUACGGGAGGCAGCAGUGGGGAAUAUUGCACAAUGGGCGCAAGCCUGAUGCAGCGACGCCGCGUGAGGGAUGGAGGCCUUCGGGUUGUAAACCUCUUUCGCUCAUGGUCAAGCCGCGACGUGGGUUGUGGUGAGGGUAGUGGGUAAAGAAGCGCCGGCUAACUACGUGCCAGCAGCCGCGGUAAUACGUAGGGCGCCAGCGUUGUCCGGAAUUAUUGGGCUUAAAGGGCUUGUAAGCGGUUGAUCGCGUCUGCCGCGAAAAUCUCUGGCUUAACUGGGAGCGUGUGGGUGGUUCGCGCUGACUUGAGAGCUGUAUGGGAGACUGAAACUCCUGGUGUAUAUGUACAAACUCACAUAUCAAGAACAACACCGUACUCAAGUCGGUCUCUGGGCGUCUUU
rnacentral:rRNA from 1 species